UUACUUUGGCAGUACAUACAGUAAAAUUGGAACAAUAGAGAUUAACAUGCCCCUGUAUAAGGAUGACAAGACAGAGACAGAGA
rnacentral:snRNA from 1 species